GUGCUCACUUUGGCAACACAUAUAUUAAAAAGAACAAUGCUGAGAUUAGCUUAGCCCCUGCACAAGGAUGAUGCACAAAUUCGUGAAGUGUUCCAUAUUUUU
ensembl:snRNA U6 U6 spliceosomal RNA